ensembl:lncRNA
AGCCGUCCUCUCCAGCCUUCCCUUGGAUGGACACAGCCCCUGCCUCUGCCACUCCCUAUGCUGCCACUCAGGGACAGAAGCCAAGCUAGCAUGGACUGGCCUGGAGAAGAAGAGCAAAGAGGAAAGAAAACUGGCUUACUUUAGCACGAUGAUAUCCAGAAGGCAACACAUGAAUCCUGGUCAUCUUAAUCGUCAGAAUUCUGAGUGUGAUUAUAAAGUAGCACCAGGAUCCACCUGAGUUGUGACGUGGGUAGAUGAUGCCUUGGCCACAUUUCUUUUCCCCUUGGGUCCUGCCCUUUAAUGUCUUUACUUUGCAUGGCACUUCACAGUUUGCAAAUUUUUUGUGACCCAUCUACUCUCAUUUGAGCCUCCACAUAAUGCUAUCAGGUAAAGCAGGAAGCAUUAUUACUCCAUAUCUCAUCUGUGAUCACCGAGGUUAAGGAGAUCAAGUGACUCCAGUUUGCAGAGCUAGCGAGGAGCAAAGCCGCCUACGCACUUGGCAGUCUUUCUGUGGCAAGAACAGCUGCACCAGUCGCCGGAGCUCUCUUGGUUUUAAUUCCAUCUCCCUUUUCAUAACCCAGCCCCUGAGACUCAUUCACAAUAAAGUGUGAGUGACUCAUUCUUCCCAGGAGUGUCUGCACUUCAAUAUCAAAGGAAUCAAAUUCAGAGGAUAAAAUUUCAGACAUUAGCAAUCGAAUCAGAUGAGUUGGGGUGGGAAGGGGUAUAGGAACAAUGAGGGCUUCCCGACACUUCUAUAAUGACGUCCAGAAGCUUCUUCCAAAUGUAUCUAGAGGUUAAACUCAGUGCCCGACUCCCACGGAAGUUAAACACCAAGUUAUGCUGCUUCAGAUAAACCUUAUUUUAUUCCGAAAAUGAAGUGAUCACAUAAAUAAGGGAAGGCGAGAAGUUUAAAAAGAAUUAAAGCAAGGAAGUUAUGAGGAGAGAAUGUUGGGUGCCAAAAGAGGAAGAGGAUAUCAAUAACUAACAUUCUCAAGCUGUUAUAUCAAAUCAGAUACAGAAUGGUCCAUCGAGAAAUGAACAAAUUGAAAAUAUGGACUUCUCUCCCAGAUGAUGAAUAACAGCAAUUUUUAUGCUUUGUCCUUUUCUGCUCAUCAGAAUGAACGGCCGUGUAACGCACUCAGAAGAACCUCUGAAGCCCCUAUUAGAGAAAUGUAAUCAUCUUUGAAUCUAUGCAUACACUGAAAAGAGCAGGAGUAAUAGAGACUAUGAAGAAGAGUUUUUCUUCCAGGGGAAGAAGGAUGGGAGAAAUGCAGAGGACAUUAUUACCUCUGCUGCUCAGCACAGAUCCUCAACCUGAGCUACUUUUGAGGCUCCCUAAGGUGGAAACCUACAGAGGAAGCUACAGUGAACACCUUUGAUGCCAGGAGGCCCUCCAGGAAUAAACAAGACUCCAACAGACAUGGCAAUGUCCAGCAGCUCGCCUGGAAAGCAGAUUUGUUUGUGAGUCAUGUGACACACCCCUGAGGUCUUCCAAA